GGAUAAGAAAGGUGUUUCAGGCAUUGUUACUCCUGAUUCAGAAGCCUGUAGCUUGUCAUUCAGCACUUGGCCACACCCAGUCCUGCCCACUUA